CAGCUAGUUGGUGAGGUAAUGGCUCACCAAGGCUACGAUGCAUAGGGGAUCUGAGAGGAUUAUCCCCCACACUGGUACUGAGACACGGACCAGACUCCUACGGGAGGCAGCAGUAAGGAAUAUUGGACAAUGGUGGAAACACUGAUCCAGCCAUGCCGCGUGAAGGAUGAAGGCGCUAUGCGUCGUAAACUUCUUUUGAACGGGAGAAACCCCAGAUACGUGUAUCUGGCUGAUAGUACCGUUAGAAUAAGGGUCGGCUAACUUCGUGCCAGCAGCCGCGGUAAUACGAAGGACCCGAGCGUUAUCCGGAUUCAUUGGGUUUAAAGGGUGCGUAGGCGGAAUGAUAAGUCAGUGGUGAAAUCCUGCAGCUCAACUGCAGAACUGCCAUUGAUACUGUCGUUCUUGAAUGCAACUGAUGUGGGCGGAAUGUGCCAUGUAGUGGUGAAAUACUUAGAUAUGGCACAGAACACCGAUUGCGAAGGC
rnacentral:rRNA from 1 species